rnacentral:rRNA from 1 species
AGAGCAUACGGCGGAUGCCUUGGCGAUAUCUGCCGAUGAAGGACGCGACAAGCUGCGAUAAGCCACGGGGAGGUGCAAAUAACCUUUGAACCGUGGAUUUCCGAAUGGAGCAAUCCGGCUGUGGUUAUGCACAGUCAUCCAUGCCACAGAGUAUGGAAGGGAACCGGGCGAACUGAAACAUCUAAGUAGCCCGAGGAGAAGAAAUCAAACGAGAUACCCCAAGUAGCGGCGAGCGAACGGGGCAGAAGCCCAAACCGGAGAAGGAAACUUUUCCGGGGUUGAGGACCGUCAGACGAUAAGGAAGCUUAGCCGAAUCUCCUGGGAAGGAGAGCCGAAGAGUGUGAAAGCCACGUAGGCGAAAAGCAGAUAAGGACAGACGGCACCAGAGUACCGCGGGACACGAGAAACCCCGUGGGAAGCCGGGGGGACCACCCUCCAAGGCAAAACACAGAUAUCGACCGAUAGCGCAUAGUACCAUGAGGGAAAGGUGAAAAGCACCCCGGGAGGGGAAUGAAACAGAACCUGAAACCGUAUGUUUACAAGCAGUCGGAGACCGUAUAUAUACCAGGUCGACGGCGUGCCUAUUGAAGAAUGAACCGGCGAGUUAUGAGGUCCAGCAAGGUUAAGCAGGAAAUGCGGAGCCGAAGCGAAAGCGAGUCUUAAUAGGGCGAGAAGUUGGAUUGCAUAGACCCGAAACCACAGUGAUCUACCCAUGUCCAGGCUGAAACACAGGUAAAAAUGUGCGGAGGGCCGAACCUAUAUCCGUUGAAAAGGGUUAGGAUGAGGUGUGGGUAGGGGUGAAAUUCCAAUCGAACGUGGAGAUAGCUGGUUCUCCCCGAAAUAGCUUUAGGGCUAGCCUCGAGGUAGAGAUUGCAGGCGGUAGAGCACUGAUCAGGAGAGGGACCUACCCGGUUACCAAACCCAGUCAAACUGCGAAUGGCUGCAAUUAUACUCGGGAGUCAGACUACGACUUAUAAGGGCCGUGGUCAAAAGGGAAACAGCCCAGAUCAUCAGCUAAGGUCCCAAAUGCCGUGCUAAGUGGCGAAGGAUGUGGCGUUUCAUAAACAACCAGGAUGUUGGCUCAGAAGCAGCCACCAUUUAAAGAGUGCGUAAUAGCUCACUGGUCGAGAGACGCUGCGCCGAAAAUGUCCGGGGCUCAAGCACGGAACCGAAGCUAUGGCAUGAUAGCAAUAUCAUGGGUAGGGGAGCGUUCUUAUAAGGAAGAAGCAUUACCGUAAGGAGAUGUGGACAUAUAAGAAGUGAGAAUGCCGGUAUGAGUAUCGAAAAGAAAGGUGAGAAUCCUUUCCACCGAAAGCCCGAGGGUUCCUGAGCAACGAUCGUCGACUCAGGGUAAGUCGGGACCUAAGCCGAGGCGGAGACGCAUAGGCGAUGGACAACAGGUUGAAAUUCCUGUACCGGAUGAAGUCGUUUGAGCGAAGGAGCGACGCAGGAGGGCACAUGAUCGCGCGGCUGGAAGAGCGCGUCCAAGUGCGUAUGUUGGUAAGGAGGCAAAUCCCCUUAUCUGAAAGCAGAGACAUGAUGGGGAGUUAAAGGCGACUUUGACGAACUCAUGGAUCCCACACUGCCAAGAAAAACUUCUAGCGAGAAUUCAUCCGCCCGUACCGUAAACCGACACAGGUAGGCGGGGAGAGAAUCCUAAGGUGCGCGGGAAAACCCUCGUUAAGGAACUCGGCAAAUUGCAUCCGUAACUUCGGGAGAAGGAUGACCCUGAGUAGGCGAAAGGGAGAGACCCCUGGAACAGAAAAGGGUGGCAGAAAAGAGGCCCAAGCAACUGUUUACCAAAAACACAGGUGCCUGCGAAAGCGAAAGCUGAAGUAUAGGUGCUGACGCCUGCCCGGUGCUGGAAGGUUAAGGAGAGAGGUCAGCUUAGGCGAAGCUUCGAACUGAAGCCCCAGUGAACGGCGGCCGUAACUAUAACGGUCCUAAGGUAGCGAAAUUCCUUGUCGGGUAAGUUCCGACCCGCAUGAAAGGCGUAAUGAUUUGGGCACUGUCUCAACGAGGGGCCCGGUGAAAUUGAAGUACCUGUGAAGAUGCAGGUUACCCGCGACUGGACAGAAAGACCCCAUGGAGCUUCACUGCAGCUUGAGAUUGAAUCCCGGUGACAUAUGCACAGGAUAGGUGGGAGGCGUUGAAGUAAUGCCUUUGGGUGUUACAGAGCCGAUGUUGGGAUACCACCCUUAUGUUGCUGAGAUUCUAACACGGAGACUAACAACCUCGUGGACCAUCUCAGGCAGGCGGUUUGACUGGGGCGGUCGCCUCCUAAAAUGU